rnacentral:rRNA from 1 species
GACGAACGUUGGCGGCGUGCUUAAUACAUGCAAGUCAACUGAAGCAGUGGUAGCAAUAUCGCUGUGGAGGUGGCGCACGGGUGAGUAACACGUAGGUAAUCUGCCUUCAGGUCUGGCAUAACUCCGGGAAACCGGGGCUAAUAGCAGAUGAUGCAGCGGCUCGACAUCGAGACAGUUGUUAAAGCUAUGGCGCCUGAAGAUGAGCCUGCGUCUGAUUAGCUAGUUGGCGGGGUAACGGCCCACCAAGGCAACGAUCAGUAGCUGGUCUGAGAGGAUGAUCAGCCACACUGGAACUGAGACACGGUCCAGACUCCUACGGGAGGCAGCAGUAAGGAAUAUUGCUCAAUGGGAGAAAUCCCGAAGCAGCAACGCCGCGUGAGGGACGAAGGGCUUUUGCUUGUAAACCUCUGUAGUGAGAGAAAAAAAUCCCAAUCUUUGGGACAUGAUGGUAUCUCAAAAGUAAGCCCCGGCUAACUACGUG